ACGUCAUCCUUUCUUACUAGAAGCGGAGCUGGAGCGGUUCGGGAGUGCCAGAGGGAACCGCAGAGGCCGUGAGUGCAGGGCAGGGCGGCGGGAGAUAAGGUUAGGGAAAGCAGGCAAGAUAGAGCCUAUCGGAGGCUGUUGAGAGGGGUUUGCUUUGACUGCAGGCGAGAUAAGAAGCUUUCAGAGGGCUUCAACCAGAGGAGGGACCUGAUGGCUCACUCAGGUUUUACUGGGUCCCUUCUGGCUUGGAGUCGGGGCUAGACUGGAGAGGGGCAGGAGCAGCCCAGAAGCCAGGGAGGAGGCCGCUGCAAGAGACCGCACAAAAGAUGGCGGCAACUUGGUCCGGGGUAGAAGACGUGGCAGUGGUUCUUCCCCCCUGUCCCGUCUGCUGAUCAGCAAAAGGAGGUGUUCAGUUCAACAGCACAUUUUCCAACUUCCGACUCUGCUGAUGACUGGCACUGUCCCUCAAGAAGACAGCUUUGGCCGUCCCUACACAUUUAAAUGUGCACACCCAAUAAUUUCUUGGAUUAUGACUAGAGAAAUACCCACAGAAGUGCACAAGACAAAUGCCCAGGAUGUUCAGUGAAACACUGAGUGCUGAUGACUUGAAUGUCCACCAUCAUAAGACUGUCUAGAGAAGUUACAGCAUACCUAUCCCUUGGAAAGCAACGUAGCCUGGAGAAAAGAAUGAAGAAGGAAUUGAACCACCCUCCCUCUGCUGAAAAAAAUCCCAUGAGGAAUUCUGAUCAGAUGCCGGAGCUGUGGAGCAGAUCCCCUGGAGGCUAUCAUGUUUCUAGAAGGCUCCUAGAAGGCAACAAGUCUUGCAACCUGACUCUUAACUGACUUCUUACCUGUUGGAUUGUCUCAGGGCAAGGGGAAAAGGACACAGGCAUGCUUUCUGCUUCCAAACAAAAUUAUGUAUUUCAUAAUGGAAGAAAUCUUUUCAUACCAACAAUUGAAAUUCACUGGACCCACAGAGGGUCAAGCCAACAGAGGGCAAGAGACCUGGAACCCAGCUGCCUGGGUUUGGGCACCAGCUCUACCCCUUAUCUGUGGGGCCCCGGGCAAGUUGCUUGACGUGUCUGUGCUCCAGUUUCCUCCGGUAAAAUGCGGGUGAUAAUAG